AGUGAACGCUGGCGGUAGGCCUAACACAUGCAAGUCGAACGGCAGCACAGUAAGAGCUUGCUCUUACGGGUGGCGAGUGGCGGACGGGUGAGGAAUACAUCGGAAUCUACUUUUUCGUGGGGGAUAACGUAGGGAAACUUACGCUAAUACCGCAUACGACCUACGGGUGAAAGCAGGGGAUCUUCGGACCUUGCGCGAUUGAAUGAGCCGAUGUCGGAUUAGCUAGUUGGCGGGAUAAAGGCCCACCAAGGCGACGAUCCGUAGCUGGUCUGAGAGGAUGAUCAGCCACACUGGAACUGAGACACGGUCCAGACGCCUACGGGAGGCAGCAGUGGGGAAUAUGGGACAAUGGGCGCAAGCCUGAUCCAGCCAUACCGCGUGGGUGAAGAAGGCCUUCGGGUUGUAAAGCCCUUUUGUUGGGAAAGAAAAGCAGCAGGUUAAUACCCCGCUGUUCUGACGGUACCCAAAGAAUAAGCACCGGCUAACUUCGUG
rnacentral:rRNA from 1 species